CAAACUGGAGAUGGCGACCGGCGCACGGGUGAGUAACACGUAUCCAACCUGCCGAUAACUCGGGGAUAGCCUUUCGAAAGAAAGAUUAAUACCCGAUGGCAUAAUAGAACCGCAUGGUUUGAUUAUUAAAGAAUUUCGGUUAUCGAUGGGGAGUGCGUUCCAUUAGGCAGUUGGUGGGGUAACGGCCCACCAAACCUUCGAUGGAUAGGGGUUCUGAGAGGAAGGUCCCCCACCAUUGGAACUGAGACACGGUCCAAACUCCUACGGGAGGCAGCAUG
rnacentral:rRNA from 1 species